GACAUAGGUGGCGAACGUUAUCCGGAAUUAUUGGGCGUAAAGGAUGCGUAGAUGGUAGAGUAAGUUACUGGUUGAUGCCAAACUCAAUUUGACGGAAGCUGGUAAUACUGUUUUGCUAGGACAGGAGAGGUUGAUGGAAUUCUGUGUGGAGCGGUGAAAUGCGUUGAUCUACAGAGGAACACCAAAAAAGGCGAAGGCAGUUAACUAUCCUGUUCCUGACAUUGAGGCAUGAAAGCGUGGGGAGCAAACCGG
rnacentral:rRNA from 1 species